UAAGUCCCGCAACGAGCGCAACCCUUGAUCUUAGUUGCCAGCAUUCAGUUGGGCACUCUAAGGUGACUGCCGGUGACAAACCGGAGGAAGGUGGGGAUGACGUCAAAUCAUCAUACCCCUUAUGACCUGGGCUACACACGUGCUACAAUGGACAGAACAAAGGGCUGCAAGACCGCAAGGUUUAGCCAAUCCCAUAAAUCUGUUCUCAGUUCGGAUCGCAGUCUGCAACUCGACUGCGUGAAGCUGGAAUCGCUAGUAAUCGCGGAUCAGCAUGCCGCGGUGAAUACGUUCCCGGGCCUU
rnacentral:rRNA from 1 species